rnacentral:rRNA from 1 species
AGAUUGAGCGCUGGCGGCAUGCUUUACACAUGCAAGUCGAACGGUAACAGGCCGCAAGGUGCUGACGAGUGGCGAACGGGUGAGUAAUGUAUCGGAACGUGCCCAGUCGUGGGGGAUAACGCAGCGAAAGCUGCGCUAAUACCGCAUACGAUCUAUGGAUGAAAGCGGGGGACCGUAAGGCCUCGCGCGAUUGGAGCGGCCGAUAUCAGAUUAGGUAGUUGGUGGGGUAAAGGCUCACCAAGCCAACGAUCUGUAGCUGGUCUGAGAGGACGACCAGCCACACUGGGACUGAGACACGGCCCAGACUCCGUACGGG